rnacentral:ncRNA from 2 species
AAUAAACUUCAGGGCAGGGUUAAAUUCCCGACCGGUGGUAAAGUCCACGAGCUUAUAUUUAAGCAUGAACUGGUGUAAUUCCAGUACCGACAGUAAAGUCUGGAUGAAAGAAGUAAGUA